rnacentral:tRNA from 3 species
GCGCAGGCGGGGGAUACUUCCACUGAUAAUGGGGUUGUUGCGGGUUCGAGUCCCGUCGGACGCC